GUCCACGCCGUAAACGAUGGAUACUAGCUGUUCGGAGCAAUCUGAGUGGCUAAGCGAAAGUGAUAAGUAUCCUACCUGGGGAGUACGCACGCAAGUGUGAAACUCAAAGGAAUUGACGGGGGCCCGCACAAGCGGUGGAGCAUGUGGUUUAAUUCGAUGAUACGCGAGGAACCUUACCAGGGCUUAAAUAUAGAUUGACAGGACUGGAAACAGUUUUUUCUUCGGACAAUUUACAAGGUGCUGCAUGGUUGUCGU
rnacentral:rRNA from 1 species